UUAUUGACAAAUGUUCAAUUUACGAUUCGUGGAUUCUGUACAUGGGCCUUGACGAACACGUGGUAUCAGGUACCCCUCCGUUAUUCAUCUCAGAAACCGAAGUUUACAAGAACGGAGACACUCCUCUAUCUCUCUCGACACCACACUCUCUUUUUAUAUCUCCGCCACUCUCUCUGUAUAAUUAUAUAGAGGGCUUUUGUCGCUACAGUUCUUUUUAUUUGACACUUGAUUGACCGUUUUAUUGAUUUUUCUACAUUUUCCGGCAUGGAACUCCGGCGGAUUCGUAAACCCACCAUACCUUUGAAUCGAUUUCCUAGCUAAGCUUAUCCAAAAGACGAACAGUUUAGCAUCAAAAUGGCGAAUUAACCAGACUCUUGCCGAGCUCAUAACAAUCCAACCAUAAAAGGAGAGCUCUGACAUUUAUCAAGACAAAUUAUAGCUUGUUACUGAAAUUCAGAGACCCAUUUGCGGGGAAUUAAAGUCUGUUUCGAUGGCUAGUGCUAAUGCAAACUCAAUGGAUGGGUCCGAAGAUGUGACCGUGAAGUUGUUGAACAAGCGAUUUGAAGGGUUAAUGGCUGUCCGUACAAAGGCAAUUAAAGGAAAAGGAGCUUGGUAUUGGUCUCAUCUUGAGCCCAUUCUGAUCACGAAUCCUGAAACCAAUCUUCCAAAAGCGGUGAAACUAAAGUGCACUCUCUGUGACGCCGCAUUUUCCGCGUCAAAUCCGUCUAGGACUGCCACGGAACAUUUCAAGAGGGGAACUUGCCCCAAUUUCAGCCCGGUAUUGAAGCCCAUUUCGCAGUUACCUCCAUUGACCUCGCCAUCUUCGCAACAUAAUCAUCGCAAGCGAAGCUCACAGUCACAGCAAGCAGCAGGCGCUUCUUCCAGUGUUUAUCCUGUUGACAUGGUUGAUAUGUCGAGGUUUAGUAAUGAAUUAAGCUUCUCGCCUACUCCAAUUGCACAGGUGCCAGCUUCGAAUCAGCAGCCACUAAUUUUGUCUGGUGGUAAAGAGGAUUUGGGGGCUUUAGCACAGUUGGAAGAUAGUGUUAAGAAGCUCAAAAGUCCAAAAGCUUCGCCUCGUCAUGCUUUAAACAAGGACCAAGUUGAUUCAGCUUUUAAUUUCUUGGCUGAUUGGUUUUAUGAGUCAUGUGGGUCGGUGUCAUUUUGCAGUCUGGAGCAUCCCAAGUUCAAGGCUUUUUUGAACCAGGUUGGCUUGCCUGCAGUGUCUCGGAGGGAAUUUACAAGCGCAAGGCUUGAUUCUAAGUUUGAGGCAGCAAGAAUGGAGUCUGAAACUAGAAUUAGGGAUGCAGUCUUUUUCCAGGUUGCUUCAGAUGGAUGGAAGGGUAAGAGUUGCAUUCGUGGGGAAGAGAUUUUGGUUAAGUUUUUGGUGAACCUUCCUAAUGGAACGAGAGUGUUUCAAAAGGCCGUGUAUGUGGACAGUGGAUCAGUGCCAUCAGAGUAUGCGGAAGAUGUUUCUUGGGAGAUAAUUAGAGGAAUCUGCGGCAAUGCCACACAAAGAUGCGUAGGGAUUGUUUCAGAUAAGUACAAAGCAAAAGCAUUGAGGAAUUUAGAAAUUCAGAAUCACUGGAUGGUUAAUUUAUCCUGUCAACUUCAGGGAUUCUUAAGUUUGAUCAAGGAUUUUUGUAGAGAACUUCCUCUAUUUAGAACUGUAACUGAUCAUUGCUUGAAGAUUGCAAUUUUGUACAACUCUAAGUCUCAGAUUAGAAAUAGUUUUCGCAAGUUUAGACUGCAAGGAGUUGAGUUUGCACGGUUCAUCAGAGUUCCUCCUCCUAAAUGUGACAUGUCGAAGAAUAUUGGUCCUUUUGUAGCAAUGUUAGAGGAUAUAUUGUGCAAUUCUCGUGUUCUACAUCUAGUUGUGUUAGAUGAUUUGUAUAAAGCUGUUUGCUUAGAGGAUCCUACGGCGAGGGAAGUAUUUGAUAUGAUACAGGAUGUUGGUUUCUGGACCGACUUGGAGGCUGUUCUUGCAUUAGUGAAGUUGAUCACGCAAAUGGCUGAAGACAUUGAGGCUGAAAGGCCAUUAGUUGGGCAAUGUCUUCCACUUUGGGAGGAAUUGAGAGCUAAAGUAAAAGAUUGGUGCUCUAAAUAUAACUUUGCUCAGGAGCCUGUUGACAAGAUAGUUGAAAAGCGAUUUAAGAGAAACUAUCACCCUGCGUGGUCAGCUGCAUUUAUACUUGAUCCAUUAUACUUGGUGAAGGAUGUGAGUGGAAAGUACCUUCCACCGUUUAAGUGCUUGACACAUGAACAAGAGAAGGAUGUUGAAAAUCUCAUAACACGGCUGGUUUCAAGGGAGGAAGCUCAUAAUGCAUUGAUGGAACUUAUGAAGUGGAGAUCCGAAGGGUUGGAUCCAUUAUAUGCACAGGCAGUUCAGGUGAAGAAACGAGACCCCGUGACAGGGAAGAUGAAGAAUGCUAACACUCAGAGUAGUACAGUUGUGUGGGAAACUUGCCUCAAAGAGUUCAAGUCUCUGGGUAAAGUUGCUGUGAGGCUUCUCUUCCUUCAUGCAACCUCAUGUGGGAUUAAGUGGAAUCGGUCCUCCAUGAGAUGGUUCUGUUUGCAAGGACACUCAAGAUUAGGCCUAGAGAGAGCUCAGAAGCUUAUUUUCAUUGCUGCGCAUGCGAAAUUCGAGAGAAGGGAUUUUUCCAGUGAGGAAGAAGAGGAUGCGGAGCUGUUUGGCAUCAUGAGUGGUGAAGAUGAUAUGCUUAAUGAGGUUCUUGCAGAUUCAUCUUCAAUGCUGGACCCUUUUGUAGAAGUUUCCAACCCGUGUGUUGAAGAAUUUGAAUUUUGCACUGUGAUUAGUUAUUCUGCUAUAAUUGUUGAAAGAUGUUUUGAGCAGCCUGCAAGCAAGGGAGGCUGUCGGGUAUCAUGAAAUGCAUUUCAGGAGCUGAAAUUGAUAUUGCAACAACUUCAACUGAUUUAUGGUUUCAAAGCAGUAGCGUAUAUUCUUUUACCAUAAUCCCACGAGAUUGAUAUUCCUGGUGGUCGAGCUGUUACUUUCUCCAUUUCUCGCUUUACACGUGUCAUACACUGCUUGAAGGCCAGUGUUGAGUCGUAUGUGUUUCGUAGCCGGCCUCAGACCUAGGAGAAGGAAGAGGUUUAUGGGCUUGUGGCAGCUGACAGGUUUACAACCAAUGUUGAAGUCUCUGUAUUUCACAGCCACACCGAGCAAGUAUAGCUAGAAUAAAAAUUUGUCAAAUUACAUUUAGUUAAAAAUCUUUUUGCAGGUUCAUGGUCGAGCUGAGUUAGAUUAUUAUAAUUUAUACGUAAUAAUCAAUGACACUUUUCUAAUUCUACCUUUUAAUGCUUGCUAAUAAACAUCUGGUUUUGACUUAGGUACAUAGUUUGUGGAGAGACAGAUUGUCCUGUUGGCAAAGUGAGAUUACUACUGACUGCUCACCUAACUAUGAAGGAAAAGGGGGUUUUAUUAGUAUGGCAUGGCUCCAUUGUUAGUUUGCUUGUGAUCUGGUAAAAAGGUGAAGGGGAUACAAUGAUUAGUAGAGUAGAGGGCAAUACGCCCUUUAUAUCAGAAUAUCAAUUCUUUCAAUGUUACUUCAUUAUUACACACUGUUUUUUAAUGCCUUUUAUCCCCACUUAAGUAAUAAAUAUUGAUUGUUUUUGAAUUUGAAAUCCACCAAAAUGGAUUUAAAUAUAGAGUUAACUGUUGCUUGA